rnacentral:rRNA from 1 species
GAUGAACGCUGGCGGCGUGCCUAAUACAUGCAAGUCGAGCGAACAGACGAGGAGCUUGCUGCUCUGACGUUAGCGGCGGACGGGUGAGUAACACGUGGAUAACCUACCUAUAAUACUGGUAUAACUUCGGGAAACCGGAGCUAAUACCGGAUAAGAUUUUGAACCGCAUGGUUCAAUAGUGAAAUACGGUGUUGCUGUCACUUAUAGAUGGAUCCGCGCUGCAUUAGCUAGUUGUUAAGGUAACGGCUUACCAAGGCUACGAUGCGUAGACGACCGGAGAGGGGGAUAGGCCGCAUGGGAGCGGAGACACGGUCAAGGGUACUAAGGGAGGCAGCAGAAGGGUAUGUUCCGCAAUGGGCGAAAGCAUGACGGAGCAACGCCGAGUGAGUGAUGAAGGUGUUGGGAUCGUAAAAAUCUGUUAUUAGGGAAGAACAAAUGUGUAAGUAACUGUGCACGGAUUGACGGUAACGAAUCAGAAAGCCACGGCUAACUACGUG